rnacentral:lncRNA from 1 species
UUAGCCUCUAUAUUCUUGGAUGAGAAAGUUACAAAGAAUAUAGAUUCGAUGAUGAAUCCUUUCAAAGAAGGAGGGGGGGAUUAUGUGAAAAUCACUAAGGAAAAUAUAUGCGAUAAAUAAGAAGUCCAUAAGACUCCUGAAGGGAGGAAAAAGCUAAGCAAAGAUGAGCUUCCUAAACUUACUCGUGAGCAUUCUUGAACAAACAGUGACAAAGCUAAAUAUAACCCGGUACAAGUUCAAUACUACAAAUCAAAGUUAAAUAUACUGGGAGCUCAGUCCAUGAAAAAGAAGCAUCAGAAAAGACUAAAAAAUAGGAAGUUGUUGGGCCUAACGGCUAAAGAAAGACUCGACCCACGACUCCCAACCCAAGAAGAAGCUCAAAACAUGAUAUGGGUCUAGGUACUAGUGGUCUACACGUGUGUGGGUUUUCCCACGUGUGAACCAUGGCCCCCACAUAUGCGGGCUCCCUGCCCGCACGAACAAACAUGCAACACAAACAAGCAACCAAGCCCACAUGGCCCUUGGCAUGCAAGCAUGUGAGAAAGCACCCGCACGAUCAGCUCGUGCACGUUUGCGGUAAAAGCAUUCUGCACAUCCCGCGUGCAUGCACUAUAACAUCCCAGAUACCUGAUGGGGUAAAAGGGAGGCUGAUAACAGAUACGAUUACCAAUAACUAGUUUAACAUUAAAGUG